GACAGAGGGUGCAAACGUUGUUCGGAAUUACUGAGCGUAAAGCGCGUGUAGGCGGCCCUGCAAGUCGGAUGUGAAAUCCCACGGCUCAACCGUGGAAGUGCAUUCGAAACUGCAAAGCUAGAGUCCUGGAGAGGAAGGUGGAAUGCUUGGUGUAGAGGUGAAAUUCGUAGAUAUCAAGCGGAACACCAGUAGCGAAAACGGCCUUCUGGACAGUGACUGACGCUGAGACGCGAAAGCAUGGGGAGCAAACAGG
rnacentral:rRNA from 1 species